rnacentral:misc_RNA from 1 species
GAAAGAUCAGAAAACACUUGCUUAGUCAGCUCAGCAAGAAAACGACCUUGUAUAAGAUUAUCCUGCUUAAGGAAAAUUUCCCUCAGCCUACUUUGACCGCAGGGAUUGUACUUCAGAUUAAAUUUGUCAAAACGAUGAAAGGUGCUCUUGUCAGCAUGAACAUCUAAGAGGUCAACAUUGAGGUCAUACCCAGUCAAAUCUAAGCUCUCAAAGACUUCCUUUAAGGUCAUAUAAGUUCCAUCGCGAAAUAUCACAACCUCAUCAGGCUCCUUCCUUAACUUUGACUUGAUGAAUCUCAACAAAUGCUUCUGAUUCAUGCAUGCUGAGUGAUGAACA